GGAACACGGCCAUCGAACCCUGCACGGAACACGGGAACCUUCCCAAGCAAGCUACGAAGAUGAUUCACGCAAGGUGGUCAUCUUCUUCUGCUCAAACACACGACUGCCCCACCGACGUGCAGGAAGACGAAACACAAAGGGAGUUUAAGAAUAUGUCAUCAUCCACCACGGACUCUUUUUCAUCUUUUGGUAAAUGAAGUAUGGGUCAACCAUUAUGCUUCUGUGAAAUUGAAGCCCAACUAAGAUACUCAUCUACUACAAGAAAUCCAGGACGACCCUUCUUAGGGUGUCCUAACUACAACACAAAGGGAUUACCAUAUUAUAAGUAUUUCAAGUGGAUAGAGGAGGAUCAAUACAGAAAGUCCGAUCUAAGAAAAACUCACAAUGAACUGUUAAGAGCCAAGAAAGAGCUGGAGAAGAUACUCGAUAAUAUCGAAAAGAGCAAGAUUGAUCUCCGUAAGAGAGUGGAUGAGAUCGAGAUGAGAGAGAUGGCGCUAUCCAAUAGAAAUGAGGAGGUUGUGAACAAGGAGUUGGCGCUUCUUGUACGCGAAGCUGAAAUAAGACGUUCACGCACACUACUCCAGAUGUAUUGGGCUGCCGCAUUUGUUGUAGCAUGUUAAUUGUCUUGCAAAUAAGUGACUUAGGAUUAGUGUUAGAAGUUAGUUGCUAUUUAUAUCUAAGUUGUUUAUAUGUUGGUUGGUGAUGUUAGAACUUAGUCUAAUUGUAU